AGAGUUUGAUCAUGGCUCAGAUUGAACGCUGGCGGCAGGCCUAACACAUGCAAGUCGAGCGGUAGCACAGAGAGCUUGCUCUCGGGUGACGAGCGGCGGACGGGUGAGUAAUGUCUGGGAAACUGCCUGAUGGAGGGGGAUAACUACUGGAAACGGUAGCUAAUACCGCAUAAUGUCGCAAGACCAAAGUGGGGGACCUUCGGGCCUCAUGCCAUCAGAUGUGCCCAGAUGGGAUUAGCUUGUAGGUGGGGUAACGGCUCACCUAGGCGACGAUCCCUAGCUGGUCUGAGAGGAUGACCAGCCACACUGGAACUGAGACACGGUCCAGACUCCUACGGGAGGCAGCAGUGGGGAAUAUUGCACAAUGGGCGCAAGCCUGAUGCAGCCAUGCCGCGUGUGUGAAGAAGGCCUUCGGGUUGUAAAGCACUUUCAGCGGGGAGGAAGGCGUUAAGGUUAAUAACCUUGUCGAUUGACGUUACCCGCAGAAGAAGCACCGGCUAACUCCGUGCCAGCAGCCGCGGUAAUACGGAGGGUGCAAGCGUUAAUCGGAAUUACUGGGCGUAAAGCGCACGCAGGCGGUCUGUCAAGUCGGAUGUGAAAUCCCCGGGCUCAACCUGGGAACUGCAUUCGAAACUGGCAGGCUAGAGUCUUGUAGAGGGGGGUAGAAUUCCAGGUGUAGCGGUGAAAUGCGUAGAGAUCUGGAGGAAUACCGGUGGCGAAGGCGGCCCCCUGGACAAAGACUGACGCUCAGGUGCGAAAGCGUGGGGAGCAAACAGGAUUAGAUACCCUGGUAGUCCACGCCGUAAACGAUGUCGAUUUGGAGGUUGUGCCCUUGAGGCGUGGCUUCCGGAGCUAACGCGUUAAAUCGACCGCCUGGGGAGUACGGCCGCAAGGUUAAAACUCAAAUGAAUUGACGGGGGCCCGCACAAGCGGUGGAGCAUGUGGUUUAAUUCGAUGCAACGCGAAGAACCUUACCUGGUCUUGACAUCCACAGAACUUAGCAGAGAUGCUUUGGUGCCUUCGGGAACUGUGAGACAGGUGCUGCAUGGCUGUCGUCAGCUCGUGUUGUGAAAUGUUGGGUUAAGUCCCGCAACGAGCGCAACCCUUAUCCUUUGUUGCCAGCGGUCCGGCCGGGAACUCAAAGGAGACUGCCAGUGAUAAACUGGAGGAAGGUGGGGAUGACGUCAAGUCAUCAUGGCCCUUACGACCAGGGCUACACACGUGCUACAAUGGCAUAUACAAAGAGAAGCGACCUCGCGAGAGCAAGCGGACCUCAUAAAGUAUGUCGUAGUCCGGAUUGGAGUCUGCAACUCGACUCCAUGAAGUCGGAAUCGCUAGUAAUCGUAGAUCAGAAUGCUACGGUGAAUACGUUCCCGGGCCUUGUACACACCGCCCGUCACACCAUGGGAGUGGGUUGCAAAAGAAGUAGGUAGCUUAACCUUCGGGAGGGCGCUUACCACUUUGUGAUUCAUGACUGGGGUGAAGUCGUAACAAGGUAACCGUAGGGGAACCUGCGGUUGGAUCACCU
rnacentral:rRNA from 1 species